UACGGGGGGGGCAAGCGUUGUUCGGAAUUACUGGGCGUAAAGGGCUCGUAGGCGGCCAACUAAGUCAGACGUGAAAUCCCUCGGCUUAACCGGGGAACUGCGUCUGAUACUGGAUGGCUUGAGGUUGGGAGAGGGAUGCGGAAUUCCAGGUGUAGCGGUGAAAUGCGUAGAUAUCAAGGGGAACACCUGAGGCGAAGGCGGGUUGCUAGGCUGACACUGACGCUGAGGCGCGAAAGCCAGGGGAGCAAACGGG
rnacentral:rRNA from 1 species